rnacentral:ncRNA from 2 species
GAACCCCAUGCGGGAGAGUCUUCCGAACGUCCGGGUAGCCGGGCGGGACGGAGGCGCCGAAGGAGCAAAUCCUCCCCGGAAUCUCUCAGGCAUCCGUACCGCAUGGGUCAG